rnacentral:lncRNA from 1 species
CAAGAAGAGGGGAAUCUUUAUUUUGGUUAAAAAAAAAAAAGGUACAGGAUAGCAGACAAGCAGCCCCCAGCCCUGGGCUCAGCUGAUUUUCCUUGGCUCAGCUCUUUCCUUUAGUCCCCUGAAGUGUAUGGGGCUGUGCACGGCUAGCUUGGUCCCUCAGUGCCUAGAGCAAAGGAGGCACGCACCCUCCCUACAUCCUACCUACUCUGGUGGAGGGUUGGGGGUGGGAGGUGGACAGGCCGUGGGAACAGUAUCAAGCCAGUUGUGCUUAGAACAGUCACCAAACUUGUUCAGCAGCGUCAUCCACCAUCAACACCCCAGACAGCUCCUGAGGAAACCUGCUGGGCUUGACUAUGGCUAUGCCUGAUCUGAGGGGGUGGAGGGGCAGGCUCUAAGGCCAGAUUCCUAGUCUUGACACCUCACAAAUCCGGGAAGGGGAAGUCAGUGGAGGAGAGAGGGAGCAUAUCAGCGUAGAGUCACAUUAUUGUGCUGAUGGCUGCGUUAUGGCUUUCUACACUCUGGCCGGCAUGGAGCGGGAAUGGGGCAAAGAGGCCAGCCCCUGCCCCCUAUGGGGGUCCUAGAGAGCACACAGGCCGGGCAGGCUGGGGGGCAGACCCUGUAGGCACAGAUGGUGGCAGAUGGGCCACAGGUUAGGCAGGUGGAGGUGCCGGGUGCCUGGCUCCCCCCAGGCCAUUCCUGGAGAGGGUUAGCAGGCCUGGGAGGAG